UACGGGGGGGGCAAGCGUUGUUCGGAAUUACUGUGCGUAAAGGGCUCGUAGGCGGCCAACUAAGUCAGACGUGAAAUCCCUCGGCUUAACCGGGGGAACUGCAUCUGAUACUGGAUGGCUUGAGUUCGGGAGAGGGAUGCGGAAUUCCAGGUGUAGCGGUGAAAUGCGUAGAUAUCUGGAGGAACACCGGUGGCGAAGGCGGCAUCCUGGACCGACACUGACGCUGAGGAGCGAAAGCCAGGGGAGCAAACGGG
rnacentral:rRNA from 1 species